rnacentral:lncRNA from 1 species
AUAGCUUGUUGGUGGUGCAGCCAGGAGUCCAGCCUGGAGAGUGAUCAGUAGCCAGCAGUUGGGGUGGAAAGGGCAUUGGACGUGGGGUCAGAGGCUUGGGUUGGAAUCCUGGAUCAAUCGCUGACCAGACGGGAACUCCGGUUCUUGGUUUCUUGAUUCUGUAUCUUCUGUCUGAGGAUAUUCUCUGACCCUGAAGUUCCCUUUAGCUGUCUUCUCUAAACAGACUCUAGACCAUUUCAUUCCUAGGACACCAGGGUUAAGAUUUUCCCUCUGCUGCCUCUGGCUUCCAAAUCGAUUGUAUCAGUCAAAAUUCUUGACAGCAACAGAAGCUGCCUGGAUGAUGAAAUGGAAAAAUAAUGUAUUAGCAAAAAUAUAGUGUUGUUGGCAGGGUAGGGGACCACGUCAGAGGCGAAGCUUCCAGAGGUAACUCCCAAAAAGGAGCUGGCCAGUUGAAGAAAACCAUGGUGCUGCCGCCAGGGACCAGCUGCCACUUCUAUGCCAGAACCUUUCUGCUGCAGCUUCUUUGCCGUUGCCUGAGAGUGAGUGCUGCUCUCUGUCUCUUUUGGGCACCUGGUUCUCAGGCAGGCAGGUGUGGGUCCAUCCCACUGGUGGAAAUGGGUGACAUGCUGAGAGGGCUGGGAAACGUUCUCAGCUUGCAGAGGGAAGUGGUUUUUCCCCCCAGUGAGACGUCUAAAGUGGUGAAUCUUCCAGACAUUGAAGGAAAGUCAAAUGCUUGGUGGCCACAAUGACUUUUAGGGCCCCACUUGCUGCACAUGGAAGUUCCUGGGCUAGGGGUUGGGUGGGAGCUGCAGCUGCAGGUCUACACCACAACCAGAGCAAUGCGAGAGCCUUAAGCCACUGAGUGAGGCCAGGUAUCGAACUCACAUCCUCAUGGAUACUAGCAGGGUUCUUAACCCACUGUGCCACAAUGGGAACUGUGAAUUUUUAGGGCUACACUUUUCUUUUUCUUUCUUUGGCCACCCCAUAGCAUAUGGACUCCCCAGGGCCAUAUGCUGAUCCGAGCUGCCGCAGUUGCAACCGAGGGCUCAGCUGCGGCAAUGCUGGAUCCUUUAACCCACAAUGCCCCACUGUGCUGGGCCGUGGAUGGAAACUGCGUUCUGGCCAAUCCCAUUGCACCACAGUGGGAACUCCCCACAAUGACUGUCCAGUGUCCACUGUCUAAUUCUCAUCCAGGAUGGCCUCAGGGUUUCACCCAGUCUGAGGUGCUGGAGAAGGAGGUAUGGGAUCAAGUGGAUGGCACUUGCUGGGAGAAGAACAGGGAAGCCAGAAAGAUGCUCUUGUUCAGUUGGAUGUCUUAUCACUACUUAAGGAUGAUGUCAGAAGUCAAGGAUGGGGAGAGGCAGGGAAUAUUCAUGUGGACUAGUUCAAGGAGGUAUUAGUUUUUUCUCUUCUAUAAGGCAUCCAGGGUGUAAGACUACACUGUGUUUCUGGGAGAAAACGAAAUCCAAAGGCCAGCUAAACCCUGUCCUGGGCUCUGGGUAGAUCAUUUAGUUGGAUUUCAAGUUCAUAGACAUCUGCCUUCAUGACUGACAUGGACCUCUGACUACUGGUGUUGCCAUGGCAAUGACCCUGCUCAGGGAUCCAGAACAAUCUAGAAGCUGUUAAAUGCUCUUCCCCAUAGGCAGCAUUCCCUUCCAUUCUACCCUGUCCUAAUAACUUGUGCUCCGAUAAUGAGUCUGGGGUGUGGGGGAGGCCGUAAGAUAUAGAUUUACCUCUUUUAUAGCCAACCCUUUCUUCCAGGAAGCCUGGUCUCUUUGAGGAGCUGCAUGGCUUCUGUGAGGCUGGGAAGGGGAGCAAUCGGUGAGGGAGCAGACAACCCCUGAGUCCCUUCAGGGUGAGGGGACCUGCCUCUUCACCAUGAGCCUCAGGGCCGUUGUCACCUCCUUGUUCCGAAGGGUGUAGAUGAUGGGGUUGAGCAUGGGCGUGAUGACUGUGUAGAAGAGGCUGAGGAUGCGAUCCGUGGUGACAGAGGAACCUGCCUGCGGCCGGAUGUAGGUGACGCUGGCCGUUCCGAAGAAGAGGAGGACCGCGAGCAGGUGGGAACUGCAGGUGGAAAAGACCUUGUGGCGGCUCCGGGUGGAGGUCAUGGCCAGGAUGGCACCUAGGAUGCGGGUGUAAGAGGUGACAAUCAGAGAGAAGGGGACCAUGAUGAAGGCCACGGUGGCUGUCAUCACCGAGAUCUCGCUCCCGUGCUUCCCCGCACUGGCCCGUCUCAGUACCGGCAGGAUGUCGCAGAAGAAGUGGGGGAUGACUGGGUGGCUGGGGAAAGACAGGGUGAAGAUGAGGGAGGAAUGGGUGGUGGCUGUGACGAUGCCCAUGAGCCAGGAGACAGCCACCAUGACCAUGCAGGCCCGCCCGCGCAUGAGGGUGGAGUAAUGCAGCGGCCGGCAGAUGGCGGCAUGGCGGUCAUAGGCCAUGGCUGUGAGCAGGCAGCACUCUGAGAUGCCCAGGACGAUAAAAACAUACAUCUGGGCCGCACAGCCCUGGAAGGAGAUGGCGCGGGGGUGCGGGGAGGCCAGGUCAGCCAGGGUCCUGGGCACGAUGGUGGUGGUGUAGAGGAUCUCCACCACGGAGAGGUGGCGCAGGAAGAAGUACAUGGGGGAGUGCAGGGCGGGGCUGGCCCCUGUGAGGAGGAUGAUCAGAGAGUUCCCCAGCAAGGUGACCAGGUAAACCAGAAGCACCACCCAGAACAGGGGGCCCUGCAGAGCCCUGAGGUCAGAAAAUCCCAGCAGGAGGAAUUCAGGCAGAGUCUGAUUUUCUUUAGCCAUCCCUUCAGGCGGGACCCUAUGGCACACCCAAGAAAGAUAACAUUUAUGUAGAAACAAUCAGUUUUUCUGUAAGUAAAAAACACUUUUCCUAAGUUCCUCUCGAAUAAACUGAGAGAGUUAGGGUCUUCAUCUUUAUGGAUGAGGCCAUGGGUUACAUAGCUAAGGGUUAAAAUGCUUGCUGGAGGUCAUUUGGAGGGAGUGGCAGGCAUGGACUUGAAUCUAGGCUUCUUGACUCCAGAGUCCAUGAAUUUCCCACUGUUCCUUGCGCUCUGGGUCCAGUGUGCAAGGCCUGACUCCCACGUGUACUUUGAUUCUUUCUCCAGAGUGGGGCUGGAGCAGCUACUCCAUCCUAGGCCUCUGUAUGCCCUGGACAGAAACCCCAGCCUGAAAGAAAUGAUACAACACCCCUCCACCCCUUGACAGUGGACUCAGUUAGGGACUGUCCUAACCCUAUAUCUAAUGAUAACCAUGAUGGGCUAUGAAUUUAGAAUGUCAUGCAGUGAUGUGACUGCGUGUGGGAUAAUACUGCCCACUUGUCUCAUGCGGUAGGAUUUUAUGCCCUUUUUCAUAGCUCAUCAGGUUCUGGCACCUGCCCUGUGAGGGGAGUAGGGCAGGGACUGCCCAUGUUGGACUCCACUCUCCUUUUAUCUGGGCCCUGUGAUCAGUGAUACCAGCUGUCCACACUCCAUUCUCCCAGGCCACCAGGCACUUCCAUAGAGUGCCCUCUGCAGGGAGUGUUUCUAUGCAUCCUAUUAAAAUCCCACUCAUCCUUCAAGCUCAAGUUAUCUACCACCCUUACUGCAGCUUCUCUGCUCCUCCUGGUCAGAAAUAAACACCCAUGGCAUUUUGGGAUUAAAAGUGGCCUUAAGAAUGGAUAAAGAAGAUGUGGUAUAAU